rnacentral:rRNA from 1 species
GACGAACGCUGGCGGCGUGCUUAACACAUGCAAGUCGAACGGAAAGGCCCUGCUUUUGUGGGGUGCUCGAGUGGCGAACGGGUGAGUAACACGUGAGUAACCUGCCCUUGACUUUGGGAUAACUUCAGGAAACUGGGGCUAAUACCGGAUAGGAGCUCCUGCUGCAUGGUGGGGGUUGGAAAGUUUCGGCGGUUGGGGAUGGACUCGCGGCUUAUCAGCUUGUUGGUGGGGUAGUGGCUUACCAAGGCUUUGACGGGUAGCCGGCCUGAGAGGAUGACCGGCCACAUUGGGACUGAGAUACGGCCCAGACUCCUACGGGAGGCAGCAGUGGGGAAUAUUGCACAAUGGGCGGAAGCGUGAUGCAGCAACGCCGCGUGCGGGAUGACGGCCUUCGGGUUGUAAACCGCUUUCGCCUGUGACGAAGCGUGAGUGACGGUAAUGGGUAAAGAAGCACCGGCUAACUACGUG